GAGAGUUAUGUAGAAAAUGUAUGUCUGUUUUCUUACCCCAGUGUCCCUUGAAGAUGCCAGUCACAUCACAAAGCAGCAGAUGGAACUUAAUCACUUUCUGCUCCAGUAAUUCUGACUACUGGGAGGUGAGAUCGAUUUUCCUCACUUUGGCUUCUGAAGAUCCAGGAGCCUGCUGUGAGACAAUAUGAAGUGGCACCAACCACAGAGGUAUCUGAACUACCCUAGCAGCUGCUCUAAGCAGGAGAGCUGGCAGCAUCAGAAGCAAUGGCAUGAAUUCAUUGUUCAGAUGAAAAAAUCAUAACAGAAAUGAAACAACCAAACUGCAAUCAAAUGUUUACGAGAACAAACUUCCUGUGAUUGGAGUAAACAACACUUGACUUAAUCAUGAAAUUGAUGAAGAUUAAAUUUCCAGGAUCUAAAACUGUCUGGCUGCAUCUGUAAUCAGAGUUAUUAGUUCCUGUUGUUGACAUAUGACUCCAGACCUUGCUGCUCACCACCUCUGGAAGUCAUUCUGGGAAGUUCUGCCCAUGAAGGCUCACCUCAUUUCCCAAAAGUUGUCUACUCCGGGAUCCCUGGACCCACAAACUCAGUGCCUGCGGGAACCCCUCGCCUAAACCAGUUCUUCCUCUUGUCUGCCAAUCUGACCCUUUUUCUCCUCAUGCACAACUGGUUCCCGCUCCUGUGUCCCCCCAACAAAUAGCACUGCUUCAGGAAGGACUAUCCCAUGCUCUCGGACUCUCUUGCAACCUGACAUUAUUUGUAGCCAGUCUUUGAUACUCUAGCCUCUGAAAUGUUUUAUAUACAUAGAAAUCUGUGUAAGUGCUUUAUAUUCAAAUAAUCUAUAGUUUCAGACAAACAUGAGAAUUGUUUCUAAAGGUUGAGAUGAGUGAUAAUGCAUGGCAUGUUCAUUUUACUGUUAUGACAUCCUCUUCCUCUUCUACUACAGAUGCUAGCACAAUGGGGCCCUGGUCCUUGUUUGGAGGGAAGGAUCUGGGCUGCUGUUGUUGUUUACAAUAGCACAAGAUUUUAAAGUAGUGAUUUUGUAUGUCCCAGUUAUUGGGUGCCCAACUAACAACAAUUGAAAGGGGCCUGAUUUUCAAUGCCUUUUAAAAUUGCCUCAAUUUGGGCACCCAGCUGAAGCAGCAAAAUCACUACUUAUGGUACUUCUGAAAGUCUUGUCUGCCAAGUCUACCAUUUCAAGUUCUAUCAAACCAAUGGUGAAAAGGAAUAUUGAGCUAUCUCAGAAAUAGGAGUUAAAAAUAAUACCUGUUACACUGUUACUAUAACUCAGUAAAAGCAGAAAAUGUGAGUACCAGAUUAGGAGGCUUCCAUGGAAAAGAACAUUGCUGGAUUAUUAUUAACAAAUUCACAUCUAUGUAAUCAAAGAUACAUUUCUAUAACCCUUAAAAAAAUCAAUAGAAAAUCCUCUGAAUAAUAAACUGAUAUUUAAUCAAUGUGUUGCUCUUCUUGCAAUGAUAAUAGCAGAAAACCAAGUAUCAUACAAAUACUUUAGAUGACAUGGAACAAGCAUGGCAGAGCAUGGGAUUUUCAUACUGAAAAAAACAACCUAGAAAAGGCCUCUUCAUGUGCUUAAUUUAGACCUGCUUAGUAGUGACCUCAUUGUUUAUCAGGGGAUGAUUUCAGUAAAGCAGCAGGCUAAAGCUUCUGGUAAUCCAAGCCUAAAUCUUCCAAUUAAAAUACUUGGCAUUUGGAAUAUAAACAGAGACAGUGGGAUGCCAUCACUGUUUUGAUCUAUGCUAUUCCCUUUUUUACCAGUAUAAUUUUAUGCUCAUGUCAUAAAUAUAAAGGGAAGGCUAAACACCUUUAAAAUCCCUCCUGGCCAGAGGAAAAACCCUUUCACCUGUAAAGGGUUAAGAAGCUAGGAUAACCUCGCUGGCACCUGACCAAAAUGACCAAUGAGGAGACAAGAUACUUUAAAAGCUGGAGCGGGGGGAGAAACAAGGUUUUCUCUGUCUGUGUGAGGCUUUUGCUGGGAACAGAAAAGGAAUAGAGUCUUAGAAUUUAGUAAGUAAUCUAGCUAGAUAUGCGUUAGAUUCUGUUUUGUUUAAAUGGCUGAUAAAAUAAACUGUGCUGAAUGGAAUGUA